UGGUUGUCAUGAUUUCCUAAAGAAAUCUGUCAUAUAAUACAUGAAGGGCCAAACCCUUCAAUUCAACACUCAAAUCCUGAAAGGCAGGACACGGCAUGCUAUCUCUGAAUGGAUAAUAAGGUAAACAUUCAGCACUUGGACGGGCAUAUAAAGCGUGCUCACUUUUAACCUUCUGUUUAGAGCAUUUUCAUUAUGCCGACUCAGAAAUGGCACGGUUUUAUGCUCUUGUCAUCAGCCAGUUUGUUCUUACGCGUUUUCUGAACACUCUGCAUUUCAUUCUAACAAAGUUUUUUUUUAUGAUGCCAAUCAAAGUUUCCCGGUAGAUCAUAGUCACAAAUAUUUCAACCAUUACAAACAGUUUAAGCCUUCAGAAUAUGCUAGGAAACUAUUAAAUGCUUAAACUGUCUAAAUAGACACCAUACUGAAGUGUGCAUUAAUGUUUGCAGGACAGCAAGCAGAUGCCGUGAAGCCUCGGCCCGUGAAGUACAGCGAGUAUGCGGUGUUCUUCAGCUGUGACAUUGUGAUCCCGUCGUUCCGUAGUGAAGUCCGAUCUCCUGCUCCUGCAUUUGGAUAUGAUACUGACCACCUGUGUUACCUGUGCAGGUGGAAAUUAUGUCAUCAUCCAUGUUACUAUCAUCACACAGGGGUGUGUUGAUCUGUUGGCGAGUGAAUGGCCGCGCUGUCAUGGAUCAGCCUGUGUCAGAUACUCUGGGUGUGCUGCUUCAGCUGAUAAACGCAGAUAAGAAAUACAUAAAGUUAAUGAGCAAAGAUAUGUUUGGACUUUCAUCACCAUAGAAGGUCAGUAUCCAGGGUUGUGUGUCGAAUUAAUGGUGGUUUGCCUUUCUAUUUUUACCGCAGAAGUCCAAAAGCCAAGCCAAUGAAAGGCCUGUCAGCUGAUGAUGAAAGAGAGUCUCUCCUGGAAUGGAGUGAUUCAGGUGAAAUUGAGUCAAUAUUGUAACCCAGAGGAAAAUGUUAUUGCUCUGCUCUUUCAUUGAUCAGGAGAUUUAAUGAGUUAUGAGUCACUUAAGUAUCAACUUUGCCUGAAAUAAAAAUAGACACAAAUGAGUCA
ensembl:lncRNA